UACAGAGGGGGCAAGCGUUGUUCGGAAUUACUGGGCGUAAAGGGCGCGUAGGCGGCCUUCUAAGUCGAACGUGAAAUCCCCGGGCUCAACCCGGGAACUGCGUCCGAUACUGGAAGGCUUGAAUCCGGGAGAGGGAUGCGGAAUUCCAGGUGUAGCGGUGAAAUGCGUAGAUAUCUGGAGGAACACCGGUGGCGAAGGCGGCAUCCUGGACCAUUACUGACGCUGAGGUGCGAAAGCGUGGGGAGCAAACAGG
rnacentral:rRNA from 1 species